rnacentral:rRNA from 1 species
GAUGAACGCUAGCUACAGGCUUAACACAUGCAAGUCGAGGGGCAGCUUUGGAGUUUGCUUGCAAACUGGAGAUGGCGACCGGCGCACGGGUGAGUAACACGUAUCCAACCUGCCGAUAACUCGGGGAUAGCCUUUCGAAAGAAAGAUUAAUACCCGAUGGUAUAAUCAGACCGCAUGGUCUUGUUAUUAAAGAAUUUCGGUUAUCGAUGGGGAUGCGUUCCAUUAGGCAGUUGGUGAGGUAACGGCUCACCAAACCUUCGAUGGAUAGGGGUUCUGAGAGGAAGGUCCCCCACAUUGGAACUGAGACACGGUCCAAACUCCUACGGGAGGCAGCAGUGAGGAAUAUUGGUCAAUGGGCGCAGGCCUGAACCAGCCAAGUAGCGUGAAGGAUGACUGCCCUAUGGGUUGUAAACUUCUUUUAUAUGGGAAUAAAGUUUUCCACGUGUGGAAUUUUGUAUGUACCAUAUGAAUAAGGAUCGGCUAACUCCGUGCCAGCAGCCGCGGUAAUACGGAGGAUCCGAGCGUUAUCCGGAUUUAUUGGGUUUAAAGGGAGCGUAGGUGGACAGUUAAGUCAGUUGUGAAAGUUUGCGGCUCAACCGUAAAAUUGCAGUUGAUACUGGCUGUCUUGAGUACAGUAGAGGUGGGCGGAAUUCGUGGUGUAGCGGUGAAAUGCUUAGAUAUCACGAAGAACUCCGAUUGCGAAGGCAGCUCACUGGACUGCAACUGACACUGAUGCUCGAAAGUGUGGGUAUCAAACAGGAUUAGAUACCCUGGUAGUCCACACAGUAAACGAUGAAUACUCGCUGUUUGCGAUAUACAGUAAGCGGCCAAGCGAAAGCAUUAAGUAUUCCACCUGGGGAGUACGCCGGCAACGGUGAAACUCAAAGGAAUUGACGGGGGCCCGCACAAGCGGAGGAACAUGUGGUUUAAUUCGAUGAUACGCGAGGAACCUUACCCGGGCUUAAAUUGCAUUUGAAUAUAUUGGAAACAGUAUAGCCGUAAGGCAAAUGUGAAGGUGCUGCAUGGUUGUCGUCAGCUCGUGCCGUGAGGUGUCGGCUUAAGUGCCAUAACGAGCGCAACCCUUAUCUUUAGUUACUAACAGGUCAUGCUGAGGACUCUAGAGAGACUGCCGUCGUAAGAUGUGAGGAAGGUGGGGAUGACGUCAAAUCAGCACGGCCCUUACGUCCGGGGCUACACACGUGUUACAAUGGGGGGUACAGAAGGCAGCUACCUGGUGACAGGAUGCUAAUCCCAAAAGCCUCUCUCAGUUCGGAUCGAAGUCUGCAACCCGACUUCGUGAAGCUGGAUUCGCUAGUAAUCGCGCAUCAGCCAUGGCGCGGUGAAUACGUUCCCGGGCCU